UACAGAGGUCCCGAGCGCUGUUCGGAUUUACUGGGCGUAAAGGGCGCGUAGGCGGCGGGGCGUGUCAAGUGUGAAAGCUCCGGGCUCAACCCGGAAAGUGCGCUUGAAACUACCCUGCUCGAGUAUGGGAGGGGGAAUCGGAAUAUAGGGUGUAGCGGUGAAAUGCGUUGAUGUCCUAUAGAACGCCGGAGGCGAAGGCGGAUUCCUUGAACAUCACUGACGCUGAGGCGCGAAAGUCGGGGGAGCAAAC
rnacentral:rRNA from 1 species